rnacentral:rRNA from 1 species
GAUGAACGCUGGCGGCGUGCCUAAUACAUGCAAGUCGAACGGAAAGACGCUGCGCUUGCUCCGUUGACGUUAGCCGCAGACGGGAGUGUAACGUGUGUAUACCGUACCUAUAAUUCGGGUAUCACUACGAGAAAGCGGCGCAAAUAGCGUAGGAGAUACUGAUGCGUGUGGGUGGAUGGUGAGUGACGGCGGUUGGGGAUGGUCUCGCGGCUUAUCAGCUUGUUGGUGGGGUAGUGGAUUACCAAGGCUGUGACGGGUAGCCGGCCUGAGAGGGUGAACGGCCACAUUGGGACUGCGAUACGGCCCAGACUCCUACGGGAGGCAGCAGUGGGGAAUAUUGCACAAUGGGCGGAAGCGUGAUGCAGCAACGCCGCGUGCGGGAUGACGGCCUACGGGUUGUAAACCGCUUUCGCCUGUGACGAAGCGUGAGUGACGGUAAUGGGUAAAGAAGCACCGGCUAACUACGUG